UUUGUCUUUCGGCUUCAGUGAUGCUGGCCGGGGCCAAAUUAAGGCAGAAAAACGGAAGUGUUGAAAUCUUUCUCUGAAGAAUGAAACAUCUUAUUUGAUGUUUUGUACGGCAUUUGAAAUGAAGAAAUCAUCUUCAUGAUUGAAGAGCUGUGAUUUGGGGCAUUGCAGCAUCCCUCUUCAGCAGCUCUGCACUUACCUCCGCCUUGUCCCUGCCGUUCCACUUGCCCGGCUUGGCUGCUGCUGUUUCAACCUGGGGCAAUUGCUCCACUUGAAAAGCCCCGUCAGGGGCUCUCAGAUGCACCUUUGAGGAGACUAUAGCUGUGAAAAUGGCUCUGCUACCCUGACAGAUGACUAGACUGCCUGGGAGACCUGCCUGUGCUCCUCCUUGGUUCCCAAUGUGACGCUGACAGUGACGGCACUGUGGCAUGGGUCUGGAAAGGUCUCUCCAGGACAAAGAGCUGCCAGCUGCGUCUUUUCAUUCAGCUUCUCUGGUUGCAAGCACAUUCUUUAGAGGAGAAAGAAUUGGCUCAGAAAUAUGAUGUGUUGGCACUUAGGUUGGCAGCAUGCUUGUGGGCAACUCUGUUGAGUUGCCAGAUGCCUGGAAAUCACCCAGGGAAGCUAGCUGUGCUUGCGAAGCAGCCAGCAUGGGUGCUGGAGGGUGGCGGCUUGUGUCACUAGAGGUGCAGGAUUGCGCCAUAGAGAUGAGGCUGCCCCCAGGGCUGGUUAUAUUUGUGAAUGAACAUGUAAGAACAAAACCACUGAGAUUAAACCUGUGCAAAGCUGGAAGGAGAGUCAAGAGGCUAAGUCUGAAUGUAUUUCCAGUGUAGGUAGUGCUGAUGCGUGAGAUACUUGGGGAUUACAUGCAUGCUUCUGAGUUUGAUUACUUGGAUUCAGAAGAAAUAAACUCAAGCUGGAAUUCAUGCAAAGGAGAAGAGCUAUAAGGACAGAGCACAAAGAUGUGGAGCUGCAAGCUGACUCUGAGUAAAU